UUACGGGAGGCAGCAGUGGGGAAUAUUGGACAAUGGGCGCAAGCCUGAUCCAGCCAUGCCGCGUGAGUGAAGAAGGCCUUCGGGUUGUAAAGCUCUUUAAGCGGGGAGGAAGGUCAGUAACUUAAUACGUUGCUGAAUUGACGUUACCUGCAGAAUAAGCACCGGCUAACUCUGUGCCAGCAGCCGCGGUAAUACAGAGGGUGCGAGCGUUAAUCGGAAUUACUGGGCGUAAAGCGUGCGUAGGUGGUCUUUUAAGCUGGAUGUGAAAUCCCCGGGCUUAACCUGGGAACUGCAUUCAGGACUGGAAGACUCGAGUCUGGGAGAGGGUGGUGGAAUUUCCGGUGUAGCGGUGAAAUGCGUAGAUAUCGGAAGGAACAUCAGUGGCGAAGGCGACCGCCUGGCCUAAGACUGACACUGAGGCACGAAAGCGUGGGGAGCAAACAGGAUUAGAUACCCCGGU
rnacentral:rRNA from 1 species